rnacentral:rRNA from 1 species
CGCGGCCUAUCAGCUUGUUGGCGAGGUAACGGCUCACCAAGGCAUCGACGGGUAGCUGGUCCGAGAGGAUGAUCAGCCACACUGGGACUGAGACACGGCCCAGACUCCUACGGGAGGCAGCAGUGGGGAAUAUUGCACAAUGGGCGCAAGCCUGAUGCAGCAACGCCGCGUGCGGGAAGAAGACCUUAGGGUUGUAAACCGCUUUCAGCAGGGAAGAAACUGACGGUACCUGCAGAAGAAGGUGCGGCCAACUACGUGCCAGCAGCCGCGGUGACACGUAGGCACCAAGCGUUGUCCGGAUUUAUUGGGCGUAAAGAGCUCGUAGGCGGUUCAGUAAGUCGGGUGUGAAAACUCUGGGCUCAACCCAGAGACGCCACCCGAUACUGCUGUGACUUGAGUACGGUAGGGGAGUGGGGAAUUCCUGGUGUAGCGGUGAAAUGCGCAGAUAUCAGGAGGAACACCAGUGGCGAAGGCGCCACUCUGGGCCGUAACUGACGCUGAGGAGCGAAAGCAUGGGUAGCAAACAGGAUUAGAUACCCUGGUAGUCCAUGCCGUAAACGUUGGGCACUAGGUGUGGGUCUCAACCAACGAGAUCCGCGCCGUCGCUAACGCAUUAAGUGCCCCGCCUGGGGAGUACGG